rnacentral:rRNA from 1 species
UGGUGGAGUGAUUUGUCUGGUUAAUCCGUCAACAAACGAAACCUUAACCUGCUAAAUAGUUACGCGUAACUUCGGUUACGCGGGCAACUUCUUAGAAAGACUUUGUGUGUCUAACGCAAGGAAGUUUGAAGCAAUAACA